rnacentral:lncRNA from 10 species
AGAUGGACAUGUGACCCUCUCUUGGCCAAUCAGAGGCUUUCCUGCUGGAAGGGCUGCUGGAAGCCAUCUUCGCACGGUUCUUCCCUUGGCUUUAGAGCCCCGAAGCGCUCUUUGACUUGAGCUGCUUUGCAUUCUCUCUGUCCUGCCAUCGAGAAAGUUCUGAGCGGCUCAGAAGUAAUACUGACACUCGUGGUGGAGGCACCAGGAUCCCCAUCCUUGCCUUGACACAGAUCAACGGAGGGGGACUGCAGUUUCGCUGGUGGCCCCACAGCCCCCUGCCUCCAGCCAGGGGACAAAGAACAGGAGGGAUCCAGAGAAAAUGAGAGAAUGGAGCUGGGCGCAGUGGUUCACGCCUGUAAUCCCUGCACUUUGGGAGGCCGAGGCAGGCAAAUCACCUGAGGUCAGGAGUUCCAGACCGGCUGGGCAACAUGGUGAAACCCUGUCUCUACUAAAAAUAUGAAAAAAAGUUAGCCAGGCGUCCGCGUGCCUGUAAUUCCAGCUACUCAGGAGACUGAGGCAGGAGAAUCGCUUGAACCUGGGAGGCAGAGGUUGCAGUGAGCCGAGAUCACGCCACUGCACUCCAGCCUGGGCGAUAAGAGUGAAACUCUGUCUCAAAAUAAAUAAAUAAAUAAAUAAAUAAAUAAUCUUAAAAAAAAUAAAAAGAAAACUAGAGAAUGAUGACUUCUGUUUACCAUGUGCCUGGUUUCCUGUCCUGUCUGUGAUCCUGUUGCUGUUUGCUGUCAACUGUUCCUGCUUCAGUGAUAUUAGAAGGGUUCAAGGAGAAUGUGGGUCCCCUCCUUGCCUGCUCUGGGCCUUCCCCUGUUUCUGGCCUGUUUCAUCUCCACCCCCGUUGGAUCUGAGCUCCUUGAGGGUGGCCCCUACACCCUGCAGUGCUGAGCAUUGGGAGGUGUGAGGGUUGCUGAAGGCUGGGGGUUGGUGCUUUUCUUCAUUCAGCAGUCAUCAUUUAUUGAGCACCCACUGUUUGCCAGCUCCUUGGCUAAGCAUUUCAAGCCCUGUUCCAUGGGCUCAGUCUUCCAGGGGCUGGCCGCUAACUACGCAUCGAUUGAUUUCCAGAAGGACAGAAGCACAUAGCAGGGCCUGGUCUCCACUGGGGGUGCCAGGAGCUG